UACGGAGGGUGCAAGCGUUAUCCGGAUUCACUGGGUUUAAAGGGUGCGUAGGAGGGCAGGUAAGUCAGUGGUGAAAUCCCCGAGCUUAACUUGGGAACUGCCGUUGAUACUAUCUGUCUUGAAUGUUGUGGAGGUGAGCGGAAUAUGUCAUGUAGCGGUGAAAUGCUUAGAUAUGACAUAGAACACCAAUUGCGAAGGCAGCUACGCUAACACAAUUAAUUGACUCUGAUGCACGAAAGCGUGGGAUCAACAGGAUUAGAUACCGUGUG
rnacentral:rRNA from 1 species